UACAGAGGGUGCGAGCGUUAAUCGGAAUUACUGGGCGUAAAGCGCGCGUAGGCGGUUUUGUAAGUCGGGUGUGAAAUCCCCAGGCUCAACCUGGGAACUGCAUUCGAGACUGCAUGACUGGAGUAUGGGAGAGGUCAGCGGAAUUUCCGGUGUAGCGGUGAAAUGCGUAGAUAUCGGAAGGAACAUCAGUGGCGAAGGCGGCUGUCUGGCCCAAUACUGACGCUCAUGUGCGAAAGCGUGGGGAGCAAACAGG
rnacentral:rRNA from 1 species